rnacentral:rRNA from 1 species
CCCCAGACUCCUACGGGAGGCAGCAGUGAGGAAUAUUGGUCAAUGGACGAGAGUCUGAACCAGCCAAGUAGCGUGAAGGAUGACUGCCCUAUGGGUUGUAAACUUCUUUUAUAAAGGAAUAAAACGAGGCACGUGUGCCUUUUUGCAUGUACUUUAUGAAUAAGGAUCGGCUAACUCCGUGCCAGCAGCCGCGGUAAUACGGAGGAUCCGAGCGUUAUCCGGAUUUAUUGGGUUUAAAGGGAGCGUAGAUGGGUUGUUAAGUCAGUUGUGAAAGUUUGCGGCUCAACCGUAAAAUUGCAAUUGAUACUGGCAGUCUUGAGUACAGUUGAGGUAGGCGGAAUUCGUGGUGUAGCGGUGAAAUGCUUAGAUAUAACUUGGAACUCCGAUAGCGAAGGCAGCUUACCAGACUGCGACUGACGCUGAAGCACGAGAGCGUGGGUAGCGAACAGGAUUAGAUACCCCCGUAGC